CGAGAGCGUGGGCUUUCCGGCUUCUCGCAGGCGGCGGCGGUGGGGGCGGUGCUCACUUCCGGGUGUUCCGUGCGUGUGGGUGGCAGCGAGGGGAGGGACGGAGGGAGCGAUCGGAGCGCCACUGGGCCAAAGGCGCCCGACUAAGACUAUAAAGCAGGAAGAGAGAAGACAGCAUAGUCUGCACAAAGGGAUGAAUGAAAGAGGGAGGGAAAGAGCCCUGUGGCCUGGGCCACUGUCCUUCCUCAACAUUAUGGGGUCAUCAGCAGAACUGGCACUCUCUGAAGUCACCCAGGAUCAGGGGAAUCUGGGGCUGUAGCCAUUAACAUCCUGCGCUGGGUCUGCCUGCGUUUUCAAGGUACGCAGACUCAUUGGUGCUCGGUGCUUCAGCAAGCUGCCCUGAGACAUCCCCAUCACACUGGGAGCAUUUCUGGGACCAUGGGGUCAGGGCAGCACAAAGAGAGGUUUUGCCAGAGGAAGUCAUUCGUUUUGGCUGAAGAAACAUGGGCUGCUUCUUGGAAGAGGGAAACAUAGGUCAAGUGUCAUGGGUAAAUCCCAGCACAAGUUCAAGAAGCCUGUCUCUCUUUGCAGUUUUAAGUUACUUCCCUUCAGCUGAUAAUUUCUCAGACUUUGAAAUCUGUUAAAUGCUUUUCACUGCUACAGCAGCUUCGGGGCUUCUUUCUGCGUGUGGUUGAGUUCAGGCUCAACCCAAGUGAUCUAUGCUCAGACUGUACAGUGGUCUGGGUCCAAACGUGUCAUUAGCAGUCACAAACAUGCUCUGCACACAUGGC
rnacentral:lncRNA from 1 species